rnacentral:rRNA from 1 species
CGUACACAAUCUGCCUUAUACUGGGGCAUAACUUUGGGAAACUGAAGCUAAUUCCCCAUAACAUCAUAGAAUGGCAUCAUUCAGUGAUUAAAACUCCGGUGGUAUAAGAUGAGUGUGCGUCCGAUUAGAUAGUUGGUGAGGUAACGGCUCACCAAGUCAACGAUCGGUAGCUGGUCUGAGAGGAUGAUCAGCCACACGGGCACUGAGACACGGGCCCG